AGCAAGAGAAGGGCGUAUGGGGGAUGCCUAGGCUCCCAGAGGCGAGGAAGGACGUGAUAAGCUGCGAAAAGCCGCGGGGAUCUGCACACGAGAUUUGAUCCGCGGAUGUCCGAAUGGGGCAACCCGGCUGGUUGAAGGCCAGUCAUCCCGAUUUAUCGGGAAGCUAACCCGCUGAACUGAAACAUCUAAGUAGGCGGAGGAAGAGAAAACAAGAGUGAUUCCGAGAGUAGUGGCGAG
rnacentral:rRNA from 1 species